UAGUCAUAUGCUUGUCUCAAAGAUUAAGCCAUGCAUGCCUAAGUCUUGGCUCUUGAACAGUGAAACCACGAAUGGCUCAUUAAAUCAGCUAUUGUUCAUUAGAUCAUAUCCAUUACAUGGAUAACUGUAGUAAUUCUAGAGCUAAUACAUGCCUCGAUGCCGUGACCCUUCAUGGGGAUCGGUGCACUUAUUAGAACAAGACCAACCGGGUGACUAGCUUCGGCUGGUUGCCUGUGGUGUCGUGUUGACUCUGGAUAAUUUGACUGAUCGCAGUCGGCCUUGUAGUCGGCGACAAUUCUUUCAAAUGUCUGCCCUAUCAUACUUUCGAUGGUAGGCGACCUGCCUACCAUGGUGAUAACGGGUAACGGGGAAUCAGGGUUCGAUUCCGGAGAGGGAGCCUGAGAAACGGCUACCACAUCCAAGGAAGGCAGCAGGCGCGCAAAUUACCCACUCCCGGCACGGGGAGGUAGUGACGAAAAAUAACGAUGCGGGACUCGUACGAGGCUCCGUAAUCGGAAUGAGAACACUUUAAAUCCUUUAACGAGGACCAAUUGGAGGGCAAGUCUGGUGCCAGCAGCCGCGGUAACUCCAGCUCCAAUAGCGUAUAUUAAAGUUGCUGCAGUUAAAAAGCUCGUAGUUGGAUCUUGACGGCACUGCUGCGUGUCUCGGUGGCACUGUUUUGCUUUUCGUCCGGGCGUGACUAAAGCGUUCCGGUUCGGGGCACGGUGUGCCGAGCUCGUUGGCGGUGUAGUCUUUCAGCCGUGUCUGUUGUCUGCGUGUAACAGCGUGGGCGCAGGUGCCGGUGGUUGGGUUUGGCCUCGUGUCGCCCUUCUGCUGGUACGCCUCGUGAUGAUCUUAACUGACUGUCGCGAGUGCGGACGGCAUGUUUACUUUGAACAAAUUUGAGUGCUCAAAGCAGGCCCACGUGCCUGAAAAGUCUUGCAUGGAAUAAUGGAAUAGGACUUCGGUUCUAUUUUGUUGGUUUUCGGUUCCGAAGUAAUGGUUAAGAGAGACAGACGGGGGCAUUUGUAUGGCGGUGUUAGAGGUGAAAUUCAUGGAUCGCCGCCAGACAGCCUGAAGCGAAAGCAUUUGCCAGGAAUGUUUUCAUUGACAAAGAGCGAAAGUCAGAGGUUCGAAGACGAUCAGAUACCGUCCUAGUUCUGACCAUAAACGAUGCCAACUGACGAUCCGUGGAGGUUGUACAUAUCGUCCCCACGGGCAGUCUCCGGGAAACCCGUAAGUCUUUGGGUUCCGGGGGAAGUAUGGUUGCAAAGCUGAAACUUAAAGGAAUUGACGGAAGGGCACCACCAGGAGUGGAGCCUGCGGCUUAAUUUGACUCAACACGGGAAAACUCACCCGGCCCGGACACUGUGAGGAUUGACAGAUUGAAAGCUCUUUCUUGAUCCAGUGGUUGGUGGUGCAUGGCCGUUCUUAGUUGGUGGAGCGAUUUGUCUGGUUAAUUCCGAUAACGAACGAGACUCUAGCCUGCUAAAUAGUACACCGGUAAAUCGUUCCCGUUCAGAGACGCUGGUUAGUUGAUUCGGUCAUGCCUACGGGUGUGUCGCGGGUUGGCUGGUCAGAUUCUUUGUCGGGUACCGUGCAGGCGAAACUUCUUAGAGGGACAAGUUGCCCAAGCAACACGAAAUUGAGCAAUAACAGGUCUGUGAUGCCCUUAGAUGUCCGGGGCCGCACGCGCGCUACAAUGACGGUACCAGCGUGCAUGACCUCCUGGCCCGAAAGGGUUGGGUAAACCGGUCCAUUACCGUCGUGACAGGGAUCGGGGUUUGUAAUUAUCCCCCGUGAACGAGGAAUUCCCAGUAAGUGCAAGUCAUAAGCUUGUGCUGAUUACGUCCCUGCCCUUUGUACACACCGCCCGUCGCUACUACCGAUUGAAUGGUUUGGCAAGGCUCUCAGAUUGGUGCCAUUGUAGCAGGCUCUGGCUUGCUCGACCGGUGCUGAGAAGAGAGCCAAACUUGAUCAUUUAGAGGAAGUAAAAGUCGUAACAAGUUUCCGU
rnacentral:rRNA from 1 species